rnacentral:rRNA from 1 species
CAGUAGCCGCGGUAACACCGAGGGUGCGAGCGUUAAUCGGAUUUACUGGGCGUAAAGCGUGCGUAGGUGGUGGUUUAAGUCCGUUGUGAAAGCCCUGGGCUCAACCUGGGAAUUGCAGUGGAUACUGGGUCACUAGAGUGUGGUAGAGGAUAGUGGAAUUUCCGGUGUAGCAGUGAAAUGCGUAGAGAUCGGAAGGAACAUCUGUGGCGAAGGCGACUAUCUGGGCCAACACUGACACUGAGGCACGAAAGCGUGGGGAGCAAACAGGAUUAGAUACCCCCGUAGUCCCUGUCUCUUAUAC